rnacentral:rRNA from 1 species
GAUGAGCGCUAGCGGCAGGCUUAAUACAUGCAAGUCGAGGGGUAGCAAGAUUGUAGCAAUACAAUUGUUGACGACCGGCAAACGGGUGCGGAACACGUACACAACCUUCCUACAAGUGGGGAAUAGCCCAGAGAAAUUUGGAUUAAUACCCCGUAACAUAGCGAUGUGGCAUCACAUUGCUAUUAUAGCUUCGGCGCUUGUUGAUGGGUGUGCGGCUGAUUAGAUAGUUGGCGGGGUAACGGCCCACCAAGUCUACGAUCAGUAGCUGAUGUGAGAGCAUGAUCAGCCACACGGGCACUGAGACACGGGCCCGACUCCUACGGGAGGCAGCAGUAAGGAAUAUUGGACAAUGGACGCAAAUCUGAUCCAGCCAUGCCGCGUGAAGGAUUAAGGUCCUCUGGAUUGUAAACUUCUUUUAUAAGGGACGAAAAAAGGUCUUUCUAGAUCGUCUGACGGUACCUUAUGAAUAAGCACCGGCUAACACCGUGCCAGCAGCCGCGGUAACAC